CUCAUUCAUUCCAGCAAAAUCCUCCCCUCUGCCUGUGAUAUAAUUACUGAACACAAUGGGCUAACGUAAUUAUAACAGGCAGGAAAAUAUACAGUUUUACACAAUAUUCAUAACUUUAAAAGUAUACAUCACAUUCACAUACUUACAUUUUCAGAAUCAGCAUACUCCAAAUACAAACAUACUCAAAAAUCAGUCAAUUCCAUCCAGUGGUUUAAAAGUUAGGUCGAAAGUCCUUUGUGAACACUGAAGCAUGGCUUUUCCAGCCCAAACCAGCUCCACAGAGUCCUCUAUCCUGGAGAUAAUUGGCUUAACUGGGUGUGGCAAGCCAACCAUCUCCAGGCACAGAAAACAUAGUUUUAUCCAAUGAGGGUUCUACUAAAACAAAAUACAUUAUAAAUAUUACGCCAGCUAAAAAAAGUGGAAUAUGCAAUCUAAGCGCAACCCAAAU